UGAUUAACAUUGUUUUUAAUUAUGCCAGUUAAAAUUUUAUUUCAUUUCAUUUUCCCUCCUUGUUUGGUAUGGUUACAUCUUUUUAAACCUACAUUUAAAAAAAAAAGCCUACAAUAUGCUUAAAAUAAGACUUUAGCUAGAUGUAGUUGAAUGUAAAUCUCCUUUAAAUAUGAAUAAUGCAAAACUAUAAAUUAAGGAACCUUUAUGGUUCUUUUUAUAGAAGGAAGAAUAUAUUGUAUUAAAAUACUAGAACUGAAACAUGGACAUAUUAACUGCUUCAAUAUCACAUUGUCCAGAAGAGUCAUCUUCUCAACCUUUAAUCAUAUCUAUCCUCCUCCUUCCCUUUUUUAUUCUCGGAUGCACGCAUAGCUGUUGCAGACAAGGGCCAGCUCAUAAAAGUGGGACAGUAAUUCUGCAGUAUCCUUUCAUAAUCAUGCACCAGGACAUGAGAUUUAACAAAUGCUUUUGUACUAUCAUUUAAAAACUCAUUCAACCAAUGCCAGAAUGUUAACUCAUAGCUCUUAAAGUGCAAUAGAAUUUCAAAGUCUAGGCUCUGUUAUUCAUAUUUAUAAUAUGUCUAUCUGGAUUCAUACAAAGUUACCCUAAUAAAUAUGUUCCUGUUUUAUUGUAGUUUAUUUUCAGAUGUUCAAGUUCAUACGUAAUUGAAUCCGAUAAAGCUAUCUACCUUUCAUUUAUUCUACAGCUAUCAUUUAUGUCAGUUCCAAAUAUUGGUAUUACUAUUUUCAGUGACUUUGCCUAUGAUACCUAAGGGUUGUGUUAAGCAAAAAUUCAGCUCAAUAGGUCCCAAGUUAGAGAAGUUCUAUAUAGCCAAAUCUGAAUUCAGUAUUGAGAAAUAAAAUUACCUUAAAACGCCCAUUCUGCUCUUUCAUCCUAUGGGUAAAAAUCCCUUUUUUGGCUGUAUAAAAGAUGUAUUGCCAAUGGUGACCAUGGGUUAAUUUUUCAAAACCUAUUGAAGUGCCAAUGUCACUUUUAAAAAUAGGAGUUAGGCGCUUAAGAAAAUUUACCCAUAUCCAGAGAACUUCACUGGGUACAUCUGAAGAGUUUUCAGAUUUCAGAAUGAGGGAGCAGAAGUAACUUUCCUAGUCUGGUUGCCAGCAAUUCAUCCUGCCAACUAGUCAUUGUUUUUCAAAAGAUUGUUACUUCCAAACAGGGCAAGUGUAAGUGAAGUAAUGAGUCAUUCCUGAGCAAGAGCCUGUCUAAUCCCCAUGCAGUGAUGAGUCAUUCCUGUGCUCAACUCCAGCCAAUCCAGGAGCCAGGAGCUGGCCUGGUGACUCUUAGGGCAGGUAUAUGAGCCUCACAGGAGAAACAGCAGCUCAGCCUGCCCAGUGUUACUUCAUGGUUUGAAACUCUCCUCUGACUGAUAGUGAUAAUAGAUUCCACAGGCUGUUGCCUGCUCCCAUGGUGUUUUGACACCAAACAUAUCCCCAGUUCUGUUCCAGCCUUGCUCUUGCUCCAGUGUAACUCCCAGCUCUACUCUUGCUUUAUUCCAACCCUGCUCUUGACUCUGUCUUUAACCUCUGGCCCCAGUGCCUGGCCUGGCUGCAAUGGCAUUGGCCACUAGUCCUGCCAGUGCUCCAACCACUCUGGGGGGUCCCUGGGAAGCAAAUAUUUGCCCCCCUCCUACAUAAUAAUUUGUCCCUCCUUUUCCUGUGCUUUUUUGUGGAUUAUUUUUAUCCUCAUAUAGGUUUAAAAAAGGACUGUGGCAUAAGGACAGGCUGGUGGGAGGCUGUAACAGCAGCAGGAACAAAUUGUGGGGCAGAUGAGCUAUGGAAGAAGAAAGAAGAGGAAAAUCCAGAACAUGGGGGAAAACUGUAUAGCAGGACAGUCCCAGAGGCAGUAAAAGAACAUCCCUUCAAAAGGGGGCAGCAUGUGCCUCUAAGAAGAGCACCCAGCCACCACAACUAAAAUCCAGAUCCCCAUAGUAGGAGAAAGUCCCUUCUGAUGUACUGAUAAUCUAACUAGACAAAGGGUGGGAGGGAAAAAAUAUUAUUCCCAGUUGGGGAACUGUGGCACAGAAAGAAUAAGGGACUUACCCUUGGUAACACAGGAAGUCAUUGGCUGAGUCAGAAAUUGAACCCUCAUUCUACUGCAUCCCAGUCCAGGGCCUUAACAACAAGACCAGCCGUCUUCUCUGUAGUGUCUUCUCUGUAGGUCUCACCAGUUUGUGGGAAAGAAGGGUCAAUUCUGAGGAGCUGGAAACUCUUGUCUGGGCCAACAGAUUUCAGGUUUGAAGUUUUCAGAAGUUUGGUUUAGCUGGCUUACACUACUAAUAUAGAGUUUGAAACACAAAUACAGUGCAUAAGCUGUGCUUUCACUUCCUGUGGGAACCACCUGUGUGGCCGCAGAUUCCAAACCUGUUAGCACCAUCUCUGCCUCCAAAAGAGAAAAUGCUCCAAUGCAGCAGAACAAAAAAAAAUCUUAAAAUAACAAUUUCAGUGAAUUUUGCAGCCAGGACCACAAUUUUGCCUAGUGAUCCCUUUCUGUGCUUGUUCAACCUUCCUUCAAAAGCACUCAGUGCUAGGAACAAGUUUUUCACCCGCCUGAAUCAAAAGUUCUGCAGUGAACUGAGAGUUUAGGACCAAAUUCUAAAUCCUUACUUAUGCAGAGUAAGAUUGUCAGUGAGACAGACUUAAAUAUAAAGAGCCAAAUCACAGUGCUAUGCAAGAUUACUUAAGUGAGUAAAAUUUACAGCACAGCCUUGCCCUUUCUUGCUUGCCAAAUGAAGAACUUGAAGAAUCAAAGGAAGUGGUUUCCAUGGGACCAAGGAAUCUUGGUCAUACUCAGAAGCCAAAUGUAGUCGAUACAUAUGUGAUGCCAAGAUGGAGCUCCAGUAAGUUCAGGAAUGGAGUUGGGGACAUGCCACUCUACACAACCCACCAAGAGUCUAGUGAUUUCCACAAUGUACGAGUAGAAUAAACUGUCAGACUUGUACGACUUCCCACUGAGGGUAUGUCUACACUACGGGAUUAUUCCGAUUUUACAUAAACCGGUUUUUUAAAACAGAUUGUAUAAAGUCAAGUGCACGCGGCCACACUAAG